rnacentral:sRNA from 1 species
UAAUCGAAGUGAAGCCAAUGAAAGGUAAUAAGAGUUCUGCAAGUGCAGUAGUAGUUGUCGGAAAUAAAUUGCAAUCGAAGCUGGCCCCGGCAUAUACUUGAUUUUAUUCGACCCGAGACGACAGAGAUAGAUAAUUGAGUGGCGAACCAAAUUGAUUACCGCAAAUGGCCAACUGCAGCUUUAACUGGAUUUUAAAUUGUCCUCACCGACAUUUCCCACUUACCAACCAUUCACAGGAUGCAGUGAGUGUAAGCCGCUUGGUGAGCGCCAUAGCUAUAGAUGUAGCUGAGACAGGAAGCGGAAAUGCGAUGCGAUGCGGCAGGGAAAUCAAGAAGCACAAGCCAUCCGAGCACCGACAUGAAAACUAAGCGAAAAAGCAAUUAGAGCUAAACAAUGGGAGCCAAGGGGACGAUGGAACGUACGAAGGACGAAGGGCUGGGCAGAACGAUGCUGUCUCUGCAAACUUGAUAUUAUGGGGCUGCCAUGUGUAAAAUGCAGGCGAGCACGAAAAUCCCAGAGGGGAGUUGGCAAUAAAAGUAGCGUGUGCAUAUUUCAGGCAAAAAUGCAACAUAAAAACAUUAAACAAAUGCCAGACGAUGACGCCAAAGAAGAAGAAGAACCAAACACAGAUGCAGUUGGAGGGCGAUGCAACGGUACGUAUACUUCAUGUGUCCCUACAACGACUUGCAUAACGUAUACGUCCCGUUUGCCGCUGCGAUAAGUGUGACAAACUGACAUGCCUCUCCGAGUUGCUUUACAGCCGAUCCAGGCUCGUAAUUUGAUAUGAAUUUUCAAUUUACACUGACAAUUUUCUAACCCGCCACGAGGCAGUUGCCUUUUGCGUGCAACGUGGCGUAUUCGUAAUUAUGGUUCUGCCAACGGCCACAUCACAAAAAGCACCAGUUACAGUAACUUCAAAGCUAAAGUCUAAAAGCUAAGCGGCCCCAGGUGCAACGAAC